CUCCUGGGCCGCUUGCCCGUCUCCUCCGCUCGCGACUGGCGGGCGAAACUCCGGAAGCGAGUCCCGGAAGCUCUUGUGACAGCUUGGCGUGAGCACCAGGGGCCCGCGGGUCCAGGACUCGCGACGCCCCACCCCAGGGCUGAGGUCGCGGUCCCUACGCUGCCUCGGUCUCAGAACUGAGGCCCGGCCCAGGCCUGGCUAAUAUUAUUUAUGGCACUGGCCAUCAAUUGCCCCUCGUGGCCCAGAGGAAUACUCCAGGUUUCCGAUUUGAGGGGAUGAACGAGGUCCCCCUGGCGUACGUUCAGACAGGGUAGCGGAGAGGCGGCACCAGGAGCCAGGGUGAAAUAGGAGAAUAGCAAAAGCCUAAGAAAGGAGACCAUGUUGGUGACCCCCAGUGUUGGCUUGAUCCCCAGGCAGGACCAGCUACAUAAUAGAUGGAGCAGCAAAGGUAGGUUCCACCAUUAUCCCCAUUUCACCUGAGGCCACUGAGACCCAGAGUGUUUGGUGAUGUGCCAGAGGACCUGCAGCCAGCAGAAGGCAGAGCUAGAUGGAAGCUAUGACUGGUUCCAAGGCCUCUUCUUAACCACUGUGCUAUGCAGCCCCAGAGAGCUAAUCUGUCCACGAGAAAAGAAUUCAUCAAAACAGGAGGAAAGCUGUUCAUCCUUAGCAACAGCUAAAGGUAGGAUUUUUCAAAGACUUAAUCAUGGAGAAGGGUAAAGUGAAAGUAGAUAAUUACAAUUGUGUGUAUAUGAGUCAAUGGCAACAUAAAAAUCCACUGAAAAUUAUCAAAGAUAUUUUUCAAUAAAAUGAAUAAUACAACUCCUUCCUUCCUUCCCUCCCUCCCUCCCUCCUUCCUUCCCUUCUUCCCUCCUUCCCUUCUUCCUUCCUUCUUUAAUAGAGACGGGGGUUUCACCAUGUUAGCCAGGUUGGUCUGGAACUCCUGACCUCAGGUGAUUCACCGGUCUCGCCCUCCCAAAGUGUUGGGAUUACAGGCGUGAGCCACCGUGCCUGGUAUUUUUAUUUAUUUAUUUGUUUGUUUGUUUGAGAUGGGUUUUGCUCUUGUUGCCCAGACUGGAGUGCAAUGUUGCAAUCUCGGCUCACUGCAACCUCUGCCUCCCGGGUUCAAGCAAUUCUCCUGCCUCAGCCUCCUGAGUAGCUGGGAUUACAAGCGCCUGCCACGACGCCCAGCUAAUUUUUGCAUUUUUAGUAGAGACGGGGUUUCAGCAUGUUAGCCAGGCUGGUCUGGAACUCCUGACCUCAGAUGAUUCACCGGUCUCGCCUUCCCAAAGUGUUGGAAUUACAGGCGUGAGCCACUGUGCCUGGCCUGAAUAACACAAUUUCUACCAUUAGAAAC